GACGAACGCUGGCGGCGUGCUUAACACAUGCAAGUCGAACGGUGAAGCUCCAGCUUGCUGGAGUGGAUCAGUGGCGAACGGGUGAGUAACACGUGAGCAACCUGCCCCUGACUCUGGAAUAAGCGCUGGAAACGGCGUCUAAUACUGGAUACGAGAAGGGUCCGCAUGGGCACUUUCUGGAAAGUUUUUCGGUUGGGGAUGGGCUCGCGGCCUAUCAGCUUGUUGGUGAGGUAAUGGCUCACCAAGGCGACGACGGGUAGCCGGCCUGAGAGGGCGACCGGCCACACUGGGACUGAGACACGGCCCAGACUCCUACGGGAGGCAGCAGUGGGGAAUAUUGCACAAUGGGCGAAAGCCUGAUGCAGCGACGCCGCGUGAGGGAUGACGGCCUUCGGGUUGUAAACCUCUUUCAGCAGGGAAGAAGCGAAAGUGACGGUACCUGCAGAAGAAGCUCCGGCUAACUACGUG
rnacentral:rRNA from 1 species